GACAGACAUGUCCCAACGGUUGUAAAUAGUCUUAACCAGAAGAAAAUUGUGUCCAUCUCAUGUGGAGGGGAACACACUGCUACUUUAUCGAAGGGCGGCACAGUAUUCACAUUUGGAUCAGGAGGUUCUGGUCAGCUUGGACACAAAUCAUUUAAAGACGAACAUCAUCCGCGGGUGGUUGCUGAACUGUGGGGAUCUGAAGUGUCACAGGUCACAUGUGGGAGACAUCACACACUCGUAUCAGUCGCGUCGUCAAAGCUGAUCUACUCAUUUGGAUGUUGGAUGCAAGGGAAGUUGGGAAAUUGCA